CCUACGGGUGGCAGCAGUGAGGAAUAUUGGUCAAUGGGCGCGAGUCUGAACCAGCCAAGUAGCGUGAAGGAUGACUGCCCUACGGGUUGUAAACUUCUUUUAUAAAGGAAUAAAGUGAGGCACGUGUGCCAUUUUGUAUGUACUUUAUGCAUAAGAAUCGGCUAACUCCGUGCCAGCAGCCGCGGUAAUACGGAGGAUCCGAGCGUUAUCCGGAUUUAUUGGGUUUAAAGGGAGCGUAGAUGGGUUGUUAAGUCAGUUGUGAAAGUUUGCGGCUUAACCGUAAAAUUGCAGUUGAUACUGGCAGCCUUGAGUACAGUUGAGGUAGGCGGAAUUCGUGGUGUAGCGGUGAAAUGCUUAGAUAUCACGAAGAACUCCGAUUGCGAAGGCAGCUCACUAGACUGCCACUGACACUGAUGCUCGAAAGUGUGGGUAUCAAACAGGAUUAGAUACCCUGGUAGUC
rnacentral:rRNA from 1 species